rnacentral:lncRNA from 1 species
AUGCGAAGAUUCAAGGAUAUGAAUUGAUGUUCUUUUCAGGGGGAGUUAAUGCGCGUUGCACUCUUUUUGCCUUACAAGGUUUGUCCCAAUGGGUUUUCCUUGCAAGGUUUUUAACGAGGCAACCAAUAGGCGCAUAUUCAAACAUGUGUACUCUUUUUCCUUUUGUUUAAUUUUUUCCCAUUGGGUUUUGUUUUAGUUAAGGUUUUAACGAGGCACAUUAUUGAAUAGACAUUCAAGGNNNN